rnacentral:rRNA from 1 species
ACGGGUGAGUAACGCGUGGGAACAUACCCCUCGGUUCGGAAUAACUCAGGGAAACUUGAGCUAAUACCGGAUAAGUCCGAGGUUUAAUCAACCUUGGAGAAAGAUUUAUCGCCGGAGGAUUGGCCCGCGUCUGAUUAGCUUGUUGGUGAGGUAAUGGCUCACCAAGGCGACGAUCAGUAGCUGGUCUGAGAGGAUGAUCAGCCACAUUGGGACUGAGACACGGCCCAA